rnacentral:rRNA from 1 species
UGGGGAAUCUUGCGCAAUGGGCGAAAGCCUGACGCAGCCAUGCCGCGUGAAUGAUGAAGGUCUUAGGAUUGUAAAAUUCUUUCACCGGGGACGAUAAUGACGGUACCCGGAGAAGAAGCCCCGGCUAACUUCGUGCCAGCAGCCGCGGUAAUACGAAGGGGGCUAGCGUUGCUCGGAAUUACUGGGCGUAAAGGGCGCGUAGGCGGAUCGUUAAGUCAGGGGUGAAAUCCCAGGGCUCAACCCUGGAACUGCCUUUGAUACUGGCGAUCUUGAGUAUGAGAGAGGUAUGUGGAACUCCGAGUGUAGAGGUGAAAUUCGUAGAUAUUCGGAAGAACACCAGUGGCGAAGGCGACAUACUGGCUCAUUACUGACGCUGAGGCGCGAAAGCGUGGGGAGCAAACAGG